UAGAGCGUAUUGUCGAGUUACAAUUAAGAUGAGGACAACACAUGCACUAAUUAGAAUGGCACUUGGAGACUGAAGGAAAUCUAACAAGUUCAGUGGCAGCUGUUUUUAUGAUAUAUUUUCUAAGAAAAGGAAAAGAAGGAAACAGGACUUAGAAAAGACAAGAUACAGCAGAUACAAGAUACUAAAUACAGGAAUAUCCUGUCAUUCAUGACAGAUUUGGACAGCUUCUUGAAACAGGUCAGACACCAAAUGUGUUGCAUAUGGCAAAAUCCAGAUCACAUGACUUCCAUUUUCUAAAG
rnacentral:lncRNA from 1 species